rnacentral:rRNA from 1 species
GCUUUUACAGUAUGAAAAUUGGUGAUUUAUAAUAACUUAGCAAAUCGCAAAGUGAAAACAGGCGAUAAAUCAUUCAAGUUUCUGACCUAUCAGCUUUCGACGGUAUGGUAUUAGGCUUACCGUGGCAGUGACGGUUAACGGGGGAUUAGGGUUCGAUUCCGGAGAGGGAGCCUGAGAAACGGCUACCACAUCUAAGGAAGGCAGCAGGCGCGCAAAUUACCCAAUUCUAACAGUUUGAGAGAGGUAGUAACAAGAAAUAACAAUACAAGGCAGUUAAAAUGCUUUGUAAUUGGAAUGAUAGAAAUUUAAACCCUUUUUAAAGUAUCAAUUGGAGGGCAAGUCUGGUGCCAGCAGCCGCGGUAAUUCCAGCUCCAAUAGCGUAUAUUAAAAUUGUUGCAGUUAAAAAGCUCGUAGUUGAAGUUCUGCUGAAAGUAACCGGUCUGCUUUUAAUAAAAGUGGUAUCUUGGUAUGUAUUUAGCAAUGAUGUCCUUUGAAGUGUUUUUUACUUUAUUGUAAUAAAGCAUAUUCAGGACUUUUACUUUGAGAAAAUUAGAGUGUUUCUAGCAGGCUAACGCUUUGAAUACUGCAGU